ensembl:snRNA U6 U6 spliceosomal RNA
GUGUUUUUCGACAGCACAUAUACUAAAACUGGAAGGAUACAGAGAUUAGCAUGGCCCCUCUGCAAGGAUGACACGCAAAUUCAUGAAGUGUUCCAUAUUUUU